UAGAAAAACCGUGACCAGACGCACGGCAGUGGGAAAUACAUCAAACGUACACUGGAAUUUGUGUUGUCGAGUUUGACAGCGUUCGGUGAGCGGCAGCCAUGUCACAGUAUGGAGGCAACAAGAGCGGACCGCCGCCCUGGGCUCAGACGCCCGGCAUGCUGCAGAGGCCAGUGUACUCGGAGGCCGGUAAUUCAUCCAUCCGGGCAUCCCCCAUCACCUACCAAACGCCGCAGCAGCUGGGCCAGCAGACGCUG